rnacentral:rRNA from 1 species
GUUGGCGGCACGCUUUAGACAUGCAAGUCGAACGAGAAAGCACUUCGGUGUGAGUACAGUGGCGGACGGGUGAGUAACGCGUAGGAAUCUACCUAGUAGUGGGGGACAACUCGGGGAAACUCGAGCUAAUACCGCAUACGCUCUUAGGAGGAAAGUGGGGGAUCUUCGGACCUCACGCUAUUAGAGGAGCCUGCGUUAGAUUAGCUAGUUGGUGAGGUAAAGGCUCACCAAGGCGACGAUCUAUAGCUGGUCUGAGAGGACGAUCAGCCACACUGGAACUGAGACACGGUCCAGACUUCUACGGAAGGCAGCAGUCAGGAAUAUUGGGCAAUGGGCGAAAGCCUGACCCAGCGAUGCCGCGUGUGUGAAGAAGGCCCUAGGGUUGUAAAGCACUUUCAGUCGUGAAGAAAAGCGUUGGGUUAAUACCCCAGCGUAUUGACGUUAACGACAGAAGAAGUACCGGCUAACUCCGUGCCAGCAGCCGCGGUAAUACGGAGGGUACGAACGUUAAUCGGAAUUACUGGGCGUAAAGCGCGCGUAGGCGGUUUGAUAAGUGGGAUGUGAAAGCCCCGGGCUCAACCUGGGAACUGCAUUCCAAACUGUCAGACUAGAGUGUGGUAGAGGGAGGUAGAAUUUCCUGUGUAGCGGUGAAAUGCGUAGAUAUAGGAAGGAAUACCGAUGGCGAAGGCAGCCUCCUGGACCAACACUGACGCUGAGGUGCGAAAGCGUGGGGAGCAAACAGGAUUAGAUACCCUGGUAGUCCACGCCGUAAACGAUGAGAACUAGCCGUUGGGGCCUUUAAGGCUUUGGUGGCGCAGCUAACGCGAUAAGUUCUCCGCC